GAACCUUCCCCAGGAAUGCACGCUCAGUAUAUAGGUGUAUAUACGUAUAUUUUAUCAUUCACAUUGCAAGAAUACCCUGCAUUGAUCAAACCAGAGAACAAGCGAUGGCAUGCCCAAGGAAGCGCCUGAAGAGACAUCGGAAGGCCUGGCAUCACCCCGCCCCCGGUGCUCUUUGUUUAACGAAGGCUCUGAAGAAAAUCACCACAUCAGUACGACCAGAAGAGCUCUGAGACAGCUUGGAAACAACAGGACGGCUGCUGGCUGACACCAAUUAACAAAUAGAUUCCUUUCUCUUCUUGGGAAAUGCUACUCUGAGAUCGCAUGGCUCAUCAUCCUCUGCACACCUACUGGCAUGAAGGACAGUAUUUUACGUAAGAAAAAAAUGUAUCUUAACUGCUCAGAAGAUCUGCUCAUUGAAUAUGUAUGCAUAGACAGAAAACAAUAGCACUUAUCUUGAAAGACAUUGAUAAGCUCAGAUGAAGACGUUUACUAGAAACAGAAUAAGGAAAAUCUACUGUGGGUUACUCUGGACUAGUGAAAAAGAUAAAGUGCAACAUAGGAGCAGGAGCCUUGCCCAUUUUUAUAAAGAUCUUCAUAAACUGUGUAUAUUUGAAGAACUGAUACUGACAUGCAGAACAUUCAGGCUUUUGCUCUGUACAUACACUUUCCAAGGAGAAAAAAAAAAAAGUCUGCAUUGGCAAUUUACAAAGUAAAAAGAGUGUGGAAAUUCAAAUAUCAGAUACUGAUGGGAAUAUAGGAAGGUCUGCUGUGACAAACUUCUGUGCUUCCUGCUGACAGAUAGGAGCCAAUUAACACUGUGGAACCACCAGCUUUUGCAGUAUAUUUGAAAAGGUUAGGGUGAAAUGUAAACUGUAAAGCCAAAGAGAUUGCUGCACAAGAUAAAUGAUAUAUUCUUUUAACUGCUUCUUUCUCUGGGUAAGUUUGAGUCAUGAGCUUCAGCUGCAAACCUCUCAAUAUCCUAUGGAUUCCUGUCGUCAGUUAUUCAGACAAACUUCCCUUUGCUUUGUAUAGAAGUGAGUCUGUUUCUAUAGUCUUUCUCUGAAUGGAUAUUGUUUCAGAGACCAACAUUCAGAAUCCUUAUAGAAACUGCCGCCUCUGAAAAUAUGAUUGCCCUCACCUCUGUGCAUGGCAUCUCCAAUCAAGUGUGGUGCUAUGUCUUUACUUUGAAUGAUUUGGAUGGGCUGUUAUCUCUGAUAAAGAGUGAAGACUGGAAGAAAAUUUAUUCCCAAUUGGAAAUAUUUAUUCACUGAUGUGUUCUGUUACAUGAUCUAAUUCCCCAAAGCUUUUUGAAUAGCUUUUAAUUUGCAUAAAUUACAUACUCAAAUUAAUUAUUUGGGCUUGUAGACAUUUGUGACAGAAGCAAUGUAUUUUAAGUGUUCGCAGCUUACUGGUUGCUGAAUGCUGUGUUUCUUUGAAGAUGGACUGACCUGGAAAAGGGGCAGAUCCUCUUUUUGUCCUGUCAGGUUACUUUGGAUCAGGUGGAAGAUGUUGGAUGAAGGAGGAGAGUUUGUCCUUUCAUUUUUCCCCCCAGAUGUUCAGGACUGGGUCAGCUCUCUUGGAGGAAAUAAGCAGAGUGAAAGACGCACGGUUAGUGGAAAAAGAAAGACUUUUCUCGUAAUGGAAAGAACAAGGUUAAAUUUCAGAACUCUGAAAGCCCCAGGAAGAUCGCUGGGAUGGAGAUGUGCCUGGGAAUAAGAGCCUCCCUACAGAGCUGCAUCAAGCAAGCGGGAGACGUUCAUAAACCUUCUUUUAACUCACUUUUCAUUAGCACCUCUGGGUUUUCUCUAUUUAAAAAUGUGAUGAUUCUAAUUUUUGUUCAGCUACAAUCUGACUUCUGAAAUUCCAGUCUCUUCUAUGCCUUGGGGGGAAUUAACCUUCAAAAAAGCUGCAGAUAGACAGAUAUAACUUGGAGGUUUGGUAGACUGGGGUCCAGACACAUUCCUGUAUCAGCUGAAUAAUGUGGUUAUAUGAAAAGUGUAAGAAAAGAACAAAAAAAAAAAAUACCUACUUUAAUUUCUCUUUCAGUUGAUAAUUCUUAACAUAUUCAACACCAGUUAGUCACUGCCCAAGGAGGAGUCUCAUUUUGGACAGACACAGACCACAGAAUGAGCUGCAUAAUUCAGCAAGGUUAAUAUUACACCUGGCGAAGAUCCAUACAAGAUUACUCUUCAGCAUCAGAGCUUGAAUUAUGAUAAAUUCUUACAUAAAUGUACCACAUACAUAUAUGAAACAUAUACAGCAACAAAAACACAAACUCUAAUUUUGACGAUUUCCAAAUAAUCUAUUGAAUAAUGUAUUGUUUAUGAAAUAAACUAUUUCA